AUACGGAGGGGGCUAGCGUUGUUCGGAAUUACUGGGCGUAAAGCGCGCGUAGGCGGAUUGAUCAGUCAGGGGUGAAAUCCCGAGGCUUAACCUCGGAACUGCCUUUGAUACUGUCAAUCUUGAGUUCGAGAGAGGUGAGUGGAAUUCCUAGUGUAGAGGUGAAAUUCGUAGAUAUUAGGAAGAACACCAGUGGCGAAGGCGGCUCACUGGCUCGAUACUGACGCUGAGGUGCGAAAGCGUGCGGAGCAAACAGGAUUAGAAACCCUAGUAGUCC
rnacentral:rRNA from 1 species